UUGCUUUUUAGUUAGCGGCGGACGGGUGAGUAACACGUGGGCAACCUGCCUGUAAGACUGGGAUAACUUCGGGAAACCGGAGCUAAUACCGGAUAACUCUUUCCUACUCAUGUAGGAAAGCUGAAAGACGGCAUCUCGCUGUCACUUACAGAUGGGCCCGCGGCGCAUUAGCUAGUUGGUGAGGUAACGGCUCACCAAGGCGACGAUGCGUAGCCGACCUGAGAGGGUGAUCGGCCACACUGGGACUGAGACACGGCCCAGACUCCUACGGGAGGCAGCAGUAGGGAAUCUUCCGCAAUGGACGAAAGUCUGACGGAGCAACGCCGCGUGAGUGAUGAAGGUUUUCGGAUCGUAAAACUCUGUUGUUAGGGAAGAACAAGUACGAGAGUAACUGCUCGUACCUUGACGGUACCUAACCAGAAAGCCACGGCUAACUACGUGCCAGCAGCCGCGGUAAUACGUAGGUGGCAAGCGUUGUCCGGAAUUAUUGGGCGUAAAGCGCGCGCAGGCGGUCCUUUAAGUCUGAUGUGAAAGCCCACGGCUCAACCGUGGAGGGUCAUUGGAAACUGGGGGACUUGAGUGCAGAAGAGG
rnacentral:rRNA from 1 species